GGCUAAGUAGUAAAUUGAUUAUAGGGGUCUUGUAAACCUCAGUUGUGGCGACACCUGGGCCU
rnacentral:tRNA from 2 species